GACAGGUGCUGCAUGGCUGUCGUCAGCUCGUGUUGUGAAAUGUUGGGUUAAGUCUCGCAACGAGCGCAACCCCUAUCUUUAGUUGCCAGCAUUAAGUUGGGCACUCUAGAGAGACUGCCUGGGUUAACCAGGAGGAAGGUGGGGAUGACGUCAAGUCCUCAUGGCCCUUAUGUCCAGGGCUACACACGUGAUACAAUGGUGCAUACAAAGGGAAGCGACCUGGUGACAGUGAGCAAAUCUCAAAAAGUGCAUCUCAGUCCGGAUUGGAGUCUGCAACUCGACUCCAUGAAGUUGGAAUCGCUAGUA
rnacentral:rRNA from 1 species